rnacentral:rRNA from 1 species
UGAAUACGAGACGCUAAGGCGUCGAAGUAGUGUAUGUCAUACUUCCAAGAAAAGCUUGCACUGUCAUAAGUAAAAAAUGCCUGUACCAUAACCGACACAGGUGGGUAGGUAGAGUAUACUAAGGGGCGCGAGAUAACUCUCUCUAAGGAACUCGGCAAAAUAACUCCGUAACUUCGGGAGAAGGAGUACCUUAUUCUAUAAGGUUGCAAUAACAAGAUCCAAGCAACUGUUUAUCAAAAACACAGGUCUCCGCUAAGUCGUAAGACGAUGUAUGGGGGCUGACGCCUGCCCAGUGCCAGAAGGUUAAAGAAGUCGGUUAGCAUUAGCGAAGCUGGUAACUGAAGCCCUGGUGAACGGCGGCCGUAACUAUAACGGUCCUAAGGUAGCGAAAUUCCUUGUCGGGUAAGUUCCGACCCGCACGAAAGGCGUAAUGAUUUGGAUACUGUCUCGGAGAGGGGCUCGGUGAAAUAGACUUGUCUGUGAAGAUGCGGACUACCUGCACCAGGACAGAAAGACCCUAUGAAGCUUUACUGUAACUUGAAAUUGAAAUUGGACUUUAUUCGCGCAGUAUAGGUGGGAGGUGUUGAUUAUAAUCUUGCGGGAUUAUUGGAGCCAUCAGUGAGAUACCACUCUUGUAAUGUUAGAUUUCUAACUUUGAAUCAUUAUCUGGUCAAAGGACAGUUUCAGGCGGGCAGUUUGACUGGGGCGGUCGCCUCCCAAACGGUAACGGAGGCGUACAAAGGUUUCCUCUGAACGGGUAGAAAUCGUAUCUAGAGUGUAAAGGCAUAAGGAAGCUUGACUGUGAGACCUACAAGUCGAACAGGGACGAAAGUCGGUCUUAGUGAUCUGACGGUACUGAGUGGAAAGGCCGUCACUCAACGGAUAAAAGUUACUCUAAGGAUAACAGGCUGAUCUCCCCCAAGAGUUCACAUCGACGGGGAGGUUUGGCACCUCGAUGUCUGCUCAUCGCAUCCUGGGGCGGUAGUACGUCCCAAGGGUUGGGCUGUUCGCCCAUGAAAGCGGUACGCGAGCUGGGUUCAGAACGUCGUGAGACAGUUCGGUCCAUAUCCGGUGUAGGCGUUAGAAUAUUGAGAGGAGCCUUCUUUAGUACGAGAGGACCGAGAAGGACAUACCUCUGGUGUACCAGUUAUCGUGCCAACGGUAAACGCUGGGUAGCUAUGUAUGGAGUGGAUAACCGCUGAAAGCAUCUAAGUGGGAAGCCCACCUCAAGAUAAGUAUUCCC